AUCCUUUUCCGGUUCAUAAGUGUGAUGAUUGGGUUCUCACGCGCUUGCGUGACAUGUGCCUCCCUCUAAACCUUGUUACGACGUGGGCACAUUACCCUUCUGACG
rfam:Dipodomys ordii contig_62915, whole genome shotgun sequence.